AAAUAAGAAGCAAAAUUUGCAUUUAAUUUCGACUUAAAAGAUAGGGUUUAACUUAAAACCUCUUAUUUA
rnacentral:tRNA from 1 species